rnacentral:lncRNA from 1 species
GCGUUCGCUUGACUGCGGAAGUGGAUACAGACAGCUCGGGUUGGUCUGAGUUUUGGGAGCUUUGCGCGUGUGCGAUCGUUACUGCUUUCCUCUGGAAAGAUGCCGGGACUGGCUGCCGCUAGCCCUGCCCCGCCCGAGGCUCAGGAGAAGAAGCCUCUGAAGCCCUGCUGUGCCUGCCCGGAGACCAAGAAGGCGCGUGAUGCGUGGUCAGUGCGCAGCCGGGGAGGGGACUCCGGGCUUCCGCUGCUUGGCUCCGUUCUACUCUCUGGCAUCUGUCUUAGUUAGGGGUCAACGAGAGGGCAAGAGCAUCAUUGAGAAAGGAGAAGAACACUGUGGACAUCUCAUCGAGGCCCACAAGGAGUGCAUGAGAGCGCUGGGAUUUAAGAUAUGACAUGGUGGCCCACUUUGUGAAUGAAUAAGCCCUGAAGAAUGAAGAAGAGUAAAUAUUUUGGAAGUUCUUUGAUGAACUUUGAUAAGUGGAUAAAGUAUUUAUAAUUUAUUAAAAAACAAAAGGAAAG